GGGGGCCCGCACAAGCGGAGGAGCGUGUGGUUUAAUUCGAUGAUACGCGAGGAACCUUACCUGGGCUCGAACGUAAGAUGACUGUAGGUGAAAGCUUACAUCUCUUCGGAGCAUUUUACGAGGUGCUGCAUGGUUGUCGUCAGCUCGUGCCGUGAGGUGUCGGGUUAAGUCCCAUAACGAGCGCAACCCCUACCUUUAGUUGCCAUCAGGUUAAGCUGGGGACUCUAAAGGAACUGCCUACGCAAGUAGUGAGGAAGGCGGGGAUGACGUCAAAUCAGCACGGCCCUUACGUCCAGGGCUACACACGUGCUACAAUGGCCGAUACAGAGGGCAGCUACCUGGUGACAGGAUGCAAAUCUCCAAAGUCGGUCUCAGUUCGGAUCGGAGUCUGCAACCCGACUCCGUGAAGUUGGAUUCGCUAGUAAUCGCGCAUCAGCCAUGGCGCGGUGAAUACGUUCCCGGGCCUU
rnacentral:rRNA from 1 species